UACGUAGGUGGCAAGCGUUAUCCGGAAUUAUUGGGCGUAAAGCGCGCGUAGGCGGUCUCUUAAGUCUGAUGUGAAAGCCCCCGGCUCAACCGGGGAGGGUCAUUGGAAACUGGGAGACUUGAGUACAGAAGAGGAGAGUGGAAUUCCAUGUGUAGCGGUGAAAUGCGCAGAGAUAUGGAGGAACACCAGUGGCGAAGGCGGCUCUCUGGUCUGUAACUGACGCUGAGGUGCGAAAGCGUGGGGAUCAAAC
rnacentral:rRNA from 2 species